rnacentral:rRNA from 1 species
UAGUCCUGGCCCUAAACGCUGUCUGCUAGUUAUUAGAGGAAUCGACCCCUCUAGUGACGAAGGUAACCCGUUAAGCAGACCGCCUGGGUAGUACGAGCGCAAGCUUAAAACUCAAAGGAAUAGACGGGGGCUCGCACAAGCGGUGGAUCAUGUGGCUUAAUUCGUCGCUAAGCGAAGAACCUUACCGAGGUUAGACAUCAUGCUGCACGCCCGGGGAAACCCGGGAAGCUUUCGAAGGUGCAUGACAGGUGACGCGUGGCCGUCGUCAGUUCGUGUCUUGAGAUGUUCCCUUAAGUGGGGAAACGAACGCAACCCUCGUCGUGUGUUACAAGUGUCACACGAGACUGCCCCCUCGACGGGGGAGGAAGGUGAGGAUGACGCCAGGUCAGCACGUCCUUAGAUAUCUCGGGCUGCACACGUGAUACAAU